rnacentral:piRNA from 1 species
UUCCAGCUUAUUUGCAGGAAC